UUUAUGGAGAGUUUGAUCCUGGCUCAGGAUGAACGCUGGCGGCGUGCCUAAUACAUGCAAGUCGAGCGAACGGACGAGAAGCUUGCUUCUCUGAUGUUAGCGGCGGACGGGUGAGUAACACGUGGAUAACCUACCUAUAAGACUGGGAUAACUUCGGGAAACCGGAGCUAAUACCGGAUAAUAUUUUGAACCGCAUGGUUCAAAAGUGAAAGACGGUCUUGCUGUCACUUAUAGAUGGAUCCGCGCUGCAUUAGCUAGUUGGUAAGGUAACGGCUUACCAAGGCAACGAUGCAUAGCCGACCUGAGAGGGUGAUCGGCCACACUGGAACUGAGACACGGUCCAGACUCCUACGGGAGGCAGCAGUAGGGAAUCUUCCGCAAUGGGCGAAAGCCUGACGGAGCAACGCCGCGUGAGUGAUGAAGGUCUUCGGAUCGUAAAACUCUGUUAUUAGGGAAGAACAUAUGUGUAAGUAACUGUGCACAUCUUGACGGUACCUAAUCAGAAAGCCACGGCUAACUACGUGCCAGCAGCCGCGGUAAUACGUAGGUGGCAAGCGUUAUCCGGAAUUAUUGGGCGUAAAGCGCGCGUAGGCGGUUUUUUAAGUCUGAUGUGAAAGCCCACGGCUCAACCGUGGAGGGUCAUUGGAAACUGGAAAACUUGAGUGCAGAAGAGGAAAGUGGAAUUCCAUGUGUAGCGGUGAAAUGCGCAGAGAUAUGGAGGAACACCAGUGGCGAAGGCGACUUUCUGGUCUGUAACUGACGCUGAUGUGCGAAAGCGUGGGGAUCAAACAGGAUUAGAUACCCUGGUAGUCCACGCCGUAAACGAUGAGUGCUAAGUGUUAGGGGGUUUCCGCCCCUUAGUGCUGCAGCUAACGCAUUAAGCACUCCGCCUGGGGAGUACGACCGCAAGGUUGAAACUCAAAGGAAUUGACGGGGACCCGCACAAGCGGUGGAGCAUGUGGUUUAAUUCGAAGCAACGCGAAGAACCUUACCAAAUCUUGACAUCCUUUGACAACUCUAGAGAUAGAGCNUUCCCCUUCGGGGGACAAAGUGACAGGUGGUGCAUGGUUGUCGUCAGCUCGUGUCGUGAGAUGUUGGGUUAAGUCCCGCAACGAGCGCAACCCUUAAGCUUAGUUGCCAUCAUUAAGUUGGGCACUCUAAGUUGACUGCCGGUGACAAACCGGAGGAAGGUGGGGAUGACGUCAAAUCAUCAUGCCCCUUAUGAUUUGGGCUACACACGUGCUACAAUGGACAAUACAAAGGGCAGCGAAACCGCGAGGUCAAGCAAAUCCCAUAAAGUUGUUCUCAGUUCGGAUUGUAGUCUGCAACUCGACUACAUGAAGCUGGAAUCGCUAGUAAUCGUAGAUCAGCAUGCUACGGUGAAUACGUUCCCGGGUCUUGUACACACCGCCCGUCACACCACGAGAGUUUGUAACACCCGAAGCCGGUGGAGUAACCUUUUAGGAGCUAGCCGUCGAAGGUGGGACAAAUGAUUGGGGUGAAGUCGUAACAAGGUAGCCGUAUCGGAAGGUGCGGCUGGAUCACCUCCUUU
rnacentral:rRNA from 1 species